CAGCACUACUCACUGGACUCGCUUGCCAUCACUCCUGGAUUCCUGGAAUCACAAGGUUGGAACCUCACCUUUCACACACCCCUCCAUUCAGCCAGACGCUCACUCGGCUACCCUCCCGAAGCCUCUCACCUCCCACCUGCAAUGCCUCCGUGCCAGAGACCUUUGCUACGUUCCUCUCGUCGCCUUUUGUACAUGUUUCCUGUGCACAAUAAAACCUUGCUAAAUAUCAUCUUGUUUUGUCCAUCAAGUCUGCUUUUGAGUUCCACUCCCACGUACUAGCCUUCUGGCCUGUGACACAAAGAGAGGCAGAAAAGGAAAAUGAUGUCUGAACCAGAGAUGCUUGCUGUUAGUCGAUCAGAAUACUGUGAUUCGCAUAUUUUUGACGUUUGAAGAUGAUUUCAGGAUAAGGGUUGUUUUGAGACUGCAAAGGCUUUUUUUUUUUUUUCCCCCAGUAGUAACAGAAGAGACGCAUGUUAUUAAUGUUAUUUGUUAAAUGAAUGUCAAAUGUCAUAUGGGGCAAACUAGGGUUUCAUAGAGUUGUUUAUUCCAUCUCACUCAUGAGUUUAAGUAUUUUCUGAAGAUUUGAAAUACAAAAUGUAGGAAUUAAGUGGAAUAAUAUUGGCUUGAUUAUCCAUUAUCUUAUUCACAAUGAAAGGAAAAUAUUGCCAUUUGCA